CCAGGCGUGUGGGUAAAGAGUGCCUCAAUCAAGACUGUGAAGAUCCCAGGCAAAAGCCAUUCCUCUAAGAAGUGCUGGGAGGACCAGUUCAUUCAUGGAACCACUGCCUUAAAAAAAAGAUAAAAACAGAACAAACCUAAACAACGGUGAGCAGUGGCCAAGAAAAGAGGGAACAGCAAGGGAAAAAUAACAAUAUUGAACACAACCAAUAAUAGUCAGGCGCACUUCACGUACAUCGUUUUCUUUAUCCUCACAAAACCCCUCAGAGGCGAGUGGAGAAGUGACACAAAGAGGCUGACAGAGGGAAAGCGGCCAUGUGACAAUGGAGUUAUGCUACAGCUGCAAGCCAGCAAACACCUGGGGCUACCAGAAGCCAGAAGAGACCAGAAAGGAUCUUCCCCUAGAGCCUACAGAGAGAACAUGGCCCUACCAACACCUGAUUCAGACCACAAGUCUCCAGAACCGUGAGAUGAUACAUUUCUGUUAUUUAAAGCCACACACUUUGUGGUGUUUUUGGUACAGCAGCUUAGGAAACUGACACAGCGUCUGAGUCUGUAAAUCCUAAUCUCUCCUGCCACUAAGUGUUCCUUUCCCCUUGUGUUCCUGAUUGAGCAAUCUGAUGUCUUUCCUUCUUCCUCUGUUCUUGUGGUCAGGGCUGGGUCUCAUGCAUGGCCCUGGCCAUCCACAAACUCUGAGCAGCACAAACACUGGGUGCUCCACCAUGGGUGCUUUCUCCAGAGAUCUCAGAGAUCUCGUUAAAGUCCUACAAUAGCCUUUGUGUCCACACCCAUUUUACAGACAAGAAAAUUG